rnacentral:rRNA from 1 species
CGUGGGUGAGGGUGGAAAGGUUUACUGGUGCCUGAUGGGCCCGAUGCCUAUCUACUUGUUGGUGGGGUAAUGGGCUACCAAGGCGACGACUGGUAACCGACCUGAAAAGGUGACCGACCCCCCUGGGACUGAAACACAGCCCAAAAUCCUACCGGAGGGAACAGUGGGGAAUAUUGCACAAUGGGCGAAAGCCUGAUGCCACGACUCCCCGUGAGGGAUGACGGGCUUCCGGUUGGAAACCUCUUUCUGCAGGGACGAAACGAAAGUGACCUUACCUGCAGAACUGCACCGGCUAACUACGUGCCAGCAACCGCGGUCUACGUAGGGUGCAAGCGUUGUCCGGAAUUACUGGGCGUAAAGAGUUCAUAUGCGGAUUGUCGCGUCGUUUGU